GAGGCUGAAGCAGGAGGAUUGCUGUGAGUUCAAGGCUCAGCAUGGGUUGCAUAGUGAGUUGCAGACCAGCCUGAGGUACCAGUGCCUAACUGGAGGCCAGAAUUUGCCAACUGUGCCUUUUGGGGGGACGUUUGUGAUCCAGCCUCCAACACAGGAUAUCAAGAGACUUGCCCAAGGCAAAGACCAGCUGGUAGCCAUCAGUCCUACUGCUCAGGGCUCCUGAAUCCAGAGAUUCAGUUUCUCCCUUGCCUGUGGCUGAGAUCCUUGGGAUGGAGAUGCUAGGAGUGUCGGAUCUUGGCCAGAAAGCCUCCAACCAUGGAGGAAUUUGCUUUGAAGACAAAGGAUG
rnacentral:lncRNA from 1 species